AAUUGUGCCUAAGUAACAGAACCUCCCUAAAAACUCUAAGCAAGGACUCUGGAGAGCUUCCAGGCUGGUGAACAAACCAGCAUGCUGGGAUGGUGGUUCAUCUGGAUAGGAGCUCACAACAUUUUAAGUUGCAACAUUAAACCGCUGCCCUGUAUGGAACUGCUACCAACUUGCUCUCACCAAAUGUCAAAUACUCAUAAGGAACAGAGGACUUUAAAUUUUCCAUAUAGUUUAAGAUCAAAUAAAGCACAGAAACGAUUGAAAACCAAGUCUAGCACCUAGAAGAAAUGAGGAGAUGGAAAGCUGGUUGAAUUAAGAGGAAGUCUGAGUGAGACACUUGUUAUUCAUGGGAAAAACAUAAUACUAGGUUUUACGGAUGACAGGCUGUAAGUACGUGUUUGAAAGUACACGUCUGAAAUAGAACUAUCCUACAACCCAGCAACUGCACUAUGAGGACAAAGGGAUUACUUAACUGAUGAUGGUAGGGGGCCAGAGCGAGAAAAGGAAACAUGUCCGAAGUGACCCUGUAUCUUCUUCACUCUGUCCACAGUUUACCGACCAAAGUAUGUGGAAAAGGAAAGCAGUGGUAAAAAGAACAAACAUUUCAAAUGCACUGGCUAAGGAGUCAUGUGGAGGAGAAUAAAGGCUCAAUCAGAAGCUAACAACAACAAAAGAAGUCCUCCAGAGACCUGAGUCAAUCAAGAAUUUAAAUCUCAGACUUUAUCAGCACCACUGGCCUGUCACAAGCCUUCUGUAGACGGAUGUCCCAUCCACUUCAAGGAGAAGGAAAUGGAUCCAGGGUCCUUCAGCUUUUGAUUAUGCACGACAAGCAGCUGGAAACUCACCAUCAGCAUGAGAGGCAGCUUCAGGACAACUGAGACUUUCCCUGUACUCAACUUCUACAUGUUGGAUCUAGACAAUGUUUGCAUAUCUCUCAGUCUAAAGAUACAUUCUAUUCUUAUCCGAGUUUAACAGAUGGGGGAAAAUGGGCACAGAGAGACUAUAUAAUUUGCCUAAGGACUCACACAAGUGUCAGACCUGAAUUUGAACCUAGACUCACCCCUAAAGUCCAGAGGCUACACUUUCUAGCUUCAUGAUGAAUACUGAAAAUGUCCCACUGAUUCAAUUUAUAUUAAACCACUUAUUUAUGUAAUUCAUUUCUUCUUCAUUUUCCAAGUUUUCCCUGCAUGUUAUUAUUUAUCACUCUCUACUCUGUCUUGCUACUGACUUCAAGAACAAAGCCAUUCCUACUCCCUUGGCCUGUAAAAUAAGAACAUUCGUCUCCACUUCCCUCACUUAUCCUAAUCCUACCCACCCUUCAAGCGCUGGCUUAAUGUCACCACCUGCAGGGAUUCCUCCCAGCUACUUGUCAGCAAAGAAGUCUCUCUUCUCCAACUUCCUUUUGGCAAUGGAAACAAAUACCUUACUCACUCUUGCCAAAUAAUUACCUUUAAUAUCUGGAUUCUCAGUUUGACUGCAAUCUCACCUACAAAGUAACUGAUAGUGCCCCUGUAGGCCUAUAGCAAGAGUUCAACAGCUGAACAGCUUCAAAAGAUGACUCUAAUACCUUAAAGACUCUUCCAUUUAUUUUUAAAAUGUUUUAUGGUGAAAGAUGCGCCCAUAACCUACUUGUAAUCUGGAAUACACAAAUUAUUGUGAAACCCA